GUCGGCGAGCAGCAGGCGCGGCCCGGGGAGGCCGCCAUCGCGCUCCAGCGCGCGCAGCUCGUCGGGGUCCAGGCCGGCCAGCGCGUUGAGGCGCACGUCCAGCUGCUCCAGGCGCGCCAGGCGCAGGGCGGCUGGCGGCAGACGGCUCAGCGCGUUGCCCGCUAGGCCCAGCAGGCGAAGCUCGGCCAGCGGUGCCAGCGCAGCGUCCAGCGCGGCCAGCAGCGCGGGGCCGCCGCGCACCAGCGCGUGGUUGAGCUGCAGCGAGCGCAGCGCGGGCAGCCCGCGGAAGGCGCCGCCGCCCAGGGCGCGCAGCGGGUUGUGGCUGAGGUCGAGCGCCGCCAGGCUGGGCAGCCCGUCGAAGGCGCCGUCCUCCACCACCUCGAUGUGGUUGUGCGUGAGGCGCAGCGCGCUCAGGAGCGGCAGGCGCACGCCCGCCGCCUGGUCGCCGUCCCCGUCCCCGCCGGCGAAGGCGGCCGCGCGCAGCACCGUCAGGUUGGCGCCUACGAUGGUGAGGUUGCGCGCGUCGGGCGGCACGUCCCGCGGAGGCUGGCGGAGCUCGGCUCCCGACGCGCAGCGCAGCAGCAGCUUGGGGCCGCCGAAGCAGUAGCACUGGAAGGGGCAGGGUGCCGCGGGCUGGCUCAGCGCCGCCGCCACGAGCAGCAGCCCCUGGAGCCCCGGCUGUCCCGCGCGCGGGGCCAUCGCGGCCGCCCCCGCAUCCAGCGCCCGGGCCGCCGCGCUCACCAGUGAGUUGGGAGCGCCUGGUGGGGGGCACGGGUGGGGCGAGUCCUUGACCCGGAGCGGCUGGCAGUCCCGGUCGGUCCGUUCGCUGUCUCGAAAGUCUGAGGAGCCGCACUUACUGGCUGACUGGCCGGGGGCAAGAGGGGUCAGACGGGGAGCGGAGCCCCCCGCCCCCGGUGCCCUCGCCCUGCGCGCCGGCCUCCGGCUUCCGCGGCCGCUCCGGGCUCCGAGCCGAGUGGGCAGGGUUUGCCUCCCCCCUCCCCGCCUCCCGGUCUCGUCCUCCGCCCCCAGCGGAGUCUCCGCGCCCUCCUCGCCGUGGGAGGCGGGGUGGGAGGCUCCCGAGAAUCAGGGCUGUCGGCUGCUGCGCUUUCUCUUCAUCCUCUCCGCCCCCGCCCCUCCGGGCUGCCGAGAAGUUUGGCUCCUGGAGGCUCCGACUUGGUUUUCCUCCUCCUCCACCCCCAACAUUUAAGCUGGGUCCUUCCUCCUCCUUCUCCAGCACGUGUGGGGCGGGGCCCGACUGCGGAGAGCAGGCAGGUGGGUCACCACCAGGGAGAAUUCGGGGGUUGGGGAGGACUUUAGAGCUGCUCCUACUACCGGAGGAAGGGAUGAGGGGUGGGCUGAGAAAGUUACUCAUUUUCCGGCCUCUUCCUAAGGCAGAGAGACUGGAAAAUCCCCAGUCUCUGCUUCCUCCUCUGCGACCCUAGUUCCAUUAGACCUGGCUGUGUCACCACCCCUGCAGGUCCUAUGGGACCAGCUUUUUCUCCAUCCCAUCCCAUCCCAUUCUCAGGAGAAGUCUGUGGCACCCGCUCCCCUCCCACCCACCAACUCUGGCUGCUCUGCCUCUGCCAGGAGUUCCCCCGUGUGGUUUCCUCCACCGGGCUGGGCUUCUCUGCCAAGCACUGUCCUAGGCACAGAGACCCGGGGGUGUAGUGAUUCUGCUCUUUGCUUUCACUCCCUGCCCCCAAACCUCUUAAGACUCCUGGGGUUCCGUUGGACACUGUCAACUAGUCCCUCCAGGCUUCUCCGCCUGUGAGUGGGGUUUGGGGCACCAGAGGUUGGGAGAGCAGGAGCAGAUUUUGCAGCAUGGAGUUGGGGGUCUCAGAAGGGGCCAGGGCUGAGGGUGGGGGGGCUGAGCUGUUUACAGAUUUGUUUUGUUCUGGAUUUUUUUUCCCCCAGAACUGGGAAGCUCUAAACCUGAUUUAAAGAGACAGGCUCCUGAGAAGGGAGGAUUCCUGGCCUUAGCAUGAAUUAUUCAGGCUGGAGAGGCUGACACUUGAUCCGCAGGCCAUUCGGGUAUCAGCAGAGCUGGUUGGAAUAGAGGCUCCCCACCUCCUCCCAAGAAUCAGUCUCUUUCUCCUGAAUUGGAGACAAAGAGUCUCACCAUGUUGCCCAGGCUGGUCCUGAACUGUUGGUUUCAAGCAGUCUUUCCACCUGGCCUCCCAAAGUGCUAGGAUUACAGGUAUGAGCCACUGCCCAUGGCCCACUCAGCCAUCAUACUCCAAUGGACAACUUUCAUGUUACCAGCUGGAUCCUAUGCACUGAAGAUACCUAGGAGCCAGAAAUAACAGUGAUGAGGGGCUCAGAGGUCAGUAGCCAAUCACAGAAGCGGGCAGUCUGACCUUCCGUGCCCCUCUCAUCUACAAUGUGAUACUGCAGUAGUGCACCAUGGCCUUCACCAGGCUCUGUGACUGAAGGUGAUCAGAGGGGUGAGGCUUGGGUAGGAGGGGGUGUGUCCUCCAGGAAGUCUCCCUCCAGGGGCCCAAGGACACAUCUGGAAGCCAUUAACAGAGGGACCAUCAGGCAGCAGGCUCUGACUCCAGGUGAGAAGGCGUGAUGAGAACAUGUGGCAGCCUCCCACUUGCUGGAGCUGGUGCAUGGAGGACACCUUGGCACCGAGUAAUUCCAGAAUCACCCCCUGCCCAGCACCCACCUAGAAUGUAGAGCUAUCCACAGUGCGGGCCCUGGAGCUCACCUCUGGAACCUUCGGUGAGCUCACCUCCAGUUCACCUCCCGAAUCUUUGACACAAGCUUUUCUGACCUUUGUAGUGACACUCUUUUUCCAGGAAGCCAUCCUGAUGCCUCCUUUGCCCCCUCCCCCACUUAGUCUCUUUCCUUUUCUGCUUCUGCUCAGAGCUGCUAUAAGACAUUGCUCUGACAGGCCUCCCAUUUCCAUUGAUCUGUGCUUCUUUGGAAGUGACAGCCCUGCCUAGCUUCAGCUGCCGCAGUUCUCCUCUCUUUCCUGCUGGAGCAUCUCCAUUUCAUGGCACUUGCAGUCCUUUCCUAGUGAUUGAAGAUGUCUGAGUCCCAUCUUGGGUCUCAACCCCCUUGCUGCUAACCCUUGGUCCUGGGACUCAUAUGAAUGACUGUCAAUUAAUUUCCUGCCACUGCAGCACUGGAGCUCCGGGUUCAUGAUGGAGCCCCAAGAGAUUCCACUCUGCAGACAGAUCAUCUAUUGCCACUAGCCCGUACCUCCAGAACUAGGGGCUUCCGCCACCCCAGAACGUCUCCCUUCCCAGCCUCAUGUUGGCUAUUUACCAGGAUGACCUAUUCUUGGCUUCCCCCAGUGGGUCUGGUUCUAGGUCACUGGAUUUCCC
rnacentral:lncRNA from 1 species